GAAAUUGCUUUUUGCUGACAGCAUCUGUGGCUAAAUGUCUCAGUACAAACUGUUGCCAGAGUGUACUUUGCAGAGUAUGAGGGCUGGAGACAGCCAGGAUAUCAGUAACCCGUUACCUGACUGUGAACAGAUCACUUAAAUGUUUGGCAUAUCAUUUACUCUGCCUUUAAAUUUGGAACGAUAUGGAUCCACGAUAGCUCCCGUGCAAAGUAUACAUGUGAAAAAUAUUAUGGGAAUAUAAACUUUUCAUAGUAAUAUUUUGUGCAAGCCAAUUGUAAAAGGCAGCGUGAGACUCUCCCCGCUCUGUGUCAGUAAUAAGUGCAGUUUCAAAGGAAAAGUUCACACAAUGUACGUGGAAUAUCUCGUACCUGUGUUGUGAGCUGGGUGGGAGAAUGCAUACUGCAUUUUUCCAUGUAGCAUUAUCUACCUCAAUAGCCAGAUGAUUUUUAUUCAUUCAUCAACUUAUUUUUAUUUAAUAUAUGUGUAUUCAGAAAAACAGAUGAAACAGAAUUCCUCUGAGGACUUCCUGAAACAAGUGGAUUCCUCAUAUUCUGGACUCCAGUGAAAAAUAUCUCAUCACAAGCCAUAAUAGCAUAACACAUAUAGGAAGAUGAGAACAGACACAAUUUGUAGGAAACUUUUAAUCAACAUAAGUUUCUCAUGAUGUUUAUCAGAAACAAGUCUCUAAGGAAUGGCAGCAACAAGCAGACACAUCAUUUGACUCUUUGGCACAAGAUACUUCUGUUUUCCUUCUUGUCUGCUUAAAGAAGGAGGUCUGAAGGAGGGAAAAACAAUGAAGAAAUUCUUAAUAUACUCUUUAUACGAAAAUGAUGACUUCAAGGACUCAGGAACCAACAUUGCUAAAGGGAGGCACAGUGCUCUCACUCUGUAAUAAUGCUGAUUGAUUGCCACACUAUUAUGGAUCCCAGCUCACCAGGAACCCAUGAGAAACUUCUCUUCGUACAACUACACCGACUUCUCAAAAAAGGUCUCAACCCAGUGGGAUUUUUAAGCCUACACAAUUUUGGACCUACGUGCAUGUUCAAGUAACAGCAAAACCCGUGGAACUUGUGUUCACAAACUGUUUAUUCUAGUGGGUUUUGUACUUGGUGACCACCAUCCAGAAACAAAGAGAGAAGAGCACUCUGAAAAUUGGAGAUUUAAGGGUUUGAAAAGUGUACCAGUAGGUGUUAAUCUGCAAAAAUACGUGUGGGAGAAAAGGACAGUGAAAUUAAGCCACCUAUUAAUACUGUACUUUAAAGGGCAAUAGGUAUCUUUAUCGUUAAAAUAAACUGAGAAAUCCUGCCUA
rnacentral:lncRNA from 1 species